rnacentral:sRNA from 1 species
UCGCCCGUCGACCGCGGUGGCAAGCGGAGGGGCGGCGAGCCGCCCCCCGCAGGUAUCGGUUCAGUCGGCGCUGUAG